rnacentral:rRNA from 1 species
GACGGGGCCCGCACAAGCGGUGGAGCAUGUGGUUUAAUUCGAUGAUACGCGAGGAACCUUACCUGGGCUCAAAUGUAUGUUGACGUAUUCUGAAAGGGAUACUUCUUCGGACAAUAUACAAGGUGCUGCAUGGUUGUCGUCAGCUCGUGCCGUGAGGUGUCGGGUUAAGUCCCAUAACGAGCGCAACCCCUAUCAUUAGUUGCCAUCAGGUCAAGCUGGGGACUCUAAUGAAACUGCCUACGCAAGUAGUGAGGAAGGUGGGGAUGACGUCAAAUCAGCACGGCCCUUACGUCCAGGGCUACACACGUGCUACAAUGGCCGGUACAAAGGGCAGCUACCUGGUGACAGGAUGCUAAUCUCAAAAGCCGGUCUCAGUUCGGAUCGGAGUCUGCAACUCGACUCCGUGAAGCUGGAUUCGCUAGUAAUCGCGCAUCAGCCACGGCGCGGUGAAUACGUUCCCGGGCCUU